GACGAACGCUGGCGGCGUGCUUAACACAUGCAAGUCGAACGGAAAGGCCCUGCUUUUGUGGGGUGCUCGAGUGGCGAACGGGUGAGUAACACGUGAGUAACCUGCCCUUGACUUUGGGAUAACUUCAGGAAACUGGGGCUAAUACCGGAUAGGAGCUCCUGCUGCAUUGUGGGGGUUGGAAAGUUUCGGCGGUUGGGGAUGGACUCGCGGCUUAUCAGCUUGUUGGUGGGGUAGUGGCUUACCAAGGCUUUGACGGGUAGCCGGCCUGAGAGGGUGACCGGCAACAUUGGAACGGAGAUACGGCCAAGACUCCUACGGGAGGAAGCGGGGGGGAAAAUUGAACAAGGGGCGGAAGCCUGAGGCAGCAACGCCGCGGGGGGAAGAACGGCCUUCGGGUUGUAAACCGCUUUAGCCGGGGACGAAGCGUGAGUGACGGUAAUGGGGAAAGAAGCACCGGCUAACUACGU
rnacentral:rRNA from 1 species